UUGAGAAUCGUUAGUCGGCGCAUUUAUCGGUUGUGUUGUUGUUGCUUAAUAACCGGACAGCCCAGACAGAAACCACAAAUGAAAUAACCACCGCUUGAGAACCCACCAGGUAAACUUAAACAUUGUACCUUACGACAGUUCAACGUAAUUAAUCAAAUAUAUGAGACUCUAUGGCACUCUCUCAAUCAAAAUCUCUCGCACUUUUGAAACGGGUCCUUCACACACGCACACACACACACACACACAUUCACACAUACACACGCACACCACCACCAAAUAGCAAGGAAAACACUUGCAGUAAUUUUGUAGCCUCAGGUGUUUGUUUCAAUUCCGAAACGAAACGCCAAACAUAUAUAUAAUAAGAGAAUAACAAAGCUAAUGAAAACGAGUUGGCAGAAUGCAAAAGGAAGAAGAAGAAGAAGAACGAGGGUUGAACAGAAAUUGUAAUAAUUAAAAGAAAACAAAAAAAUUAAAUGAAAAUGGAAAAUUGAAAAUUGAAAUUUGUGGCAUCCAAUGGAAUGCAAAAGUAUUUAGCAAUUCUGUUUGGCAUAUCGCAAAUCGGUAUCUGCGUACUUUCCCGUAAUAAUAAUUAUAAUCGUAAUACUACUAAUAGAGCAGCCAGUUGAGAGAAGGAGAAGAACCCUUCAAGUGUGUUAUUCACGUUUUAUUAGAGCAAGAAGAAGAAGAAAAAAUGAAUAAUAUGAGAGUUAAAAUGUACCAUGUACCUAAGAACUUUACACCUAUGUACAACAAAUAGCGAAAACUAAUUUACCUACGUGUACUUUAUACUAUAUAUGCAUAUACACCCACUGAUGUAUAUAUAUAUAUAUAUAUAUGAAUAUACAUAUAUAUGUUAGAGUUAAGCGAUUGGCAGGCAACAAGUAGUGCAAGCGUAACAAUCAAACCAAAUUGAACGAGUCGGAGUCGAGUCGAGUCGAGUCGAGUCAAUCACUCAAAUAAUAACGAUCAUUGAACUCGGCUUGCUGUCUGCCCAGCCCAGCAGGUCAGCAGGCGGGUAGUUCGAUGCACGCCUCCAAAUACCUGCCACACCCACACACCCACGCACCCAUACACCCACACACCUAUACACCUACACGAGAGCAUCUAAGCCACUUUGAGAUGUUGCAAGUUCGAUAAAGAUUUUUCUCUAAUUAGUCUCGAUGUUGUUUCAGCGCCUAUAGCCAAACUCUUCAAUAUAUCUAUAUAUACAAUACAUAUAAGUACAUAUACGUAUAUGCGCACACAAAUACAUGCACACAUCUGUGUAUGUAUGUAAAACGAGUCGGAGCACGUGUCUAGAUAUUAGGGCACAUGUGUGUGUCAGCUCGUCAAUUCGUUUAAGUUGCAUGCAACAUUAGCUUAGUUUGUACAUAAUGCUACUUAUGCCGCUCUCCUCGAAGGAACGAAAUGCUCUUCUCGCUUUUCCGAUAAUCAAUAAUCAACCAAUUCGAUUCAACAUUCAAUAGCAGUGCCCACUGUACCUAAAGUUAGUCCUCAGAAUGCCUCUGGCAAGGAGUUUAUCAACUGUUUGAAAAAUUGACAAAAUGUCGCUGGACGACGAAAAACUAAAAAAAAAAAAAUAAGAAAAAGAAAAACAUAUAAAAGAAUAUACUUAUUUUUAAAUAUAAAUAUAUAUGCAUAAGCACAGAGAAACAUACAUACCCACACACACAUAUACUUACUCACACACACACACAAGUGCAAAAGUCGAACUGGAAUACCUUAGAGCCUGUUCAAGGAUAAUCACAUGGAAAGAGCGCUUACAUUUAGAAACUAUAUAAACAAGAUCUAUAUAUAUGUAUGUAUGCAUACAUAUAUACAUACAUACAUAUAUAGAAGCUAUUAUCAUAACGCAAGAGCAAUCAAUGUUUAAAUUUAUUAAAUGUUACAAAAAUGUUUUAAAUAAUAAUAAA